AUGGGCGCGCCCGUCGCGCUGUCCGCAGCCCGCGGGCCCGCGCUGCGCCGCGCGGAGCCGGCGCCUCAGGUCUCUGGUGGUCCUCGAGUUUGGAGAGAGAGAACUGGGAAGUGGAGCUCUAGAAGCAUGGAGACAGAUAUGCAAAAGGACUGUGUGUAUGUGCCCUCAGGAUGGUGGGGCUCCUGUCUUGGAGAAGAGAAACAAGCCUGUGCUACAUGUAUUGGUGCAUACACCAAGAAAUACUUGUUCGUAGCACUCCUGGAGAACAGCACCCAUGCUCUGUGACAGUGUGCUUAUGUGAGCUACAUACUCUGCUUUCCAGUGAAGUUCAUGGUCAGCCAUAUUAAACAUCCUAGAAGAUGGGAUUAUGAAAAAGUGAAUAAACUCUACUUUGGGUGUCA
rnacentral:lncRNA from 1 species